rnacentral:lncRNA from 1 species
UUCAUAUAGAGUCAUCCCCCAUAGGCAGAAAGUGUCUAUCUUUCCUUCUAUAUUCCCCACCGAGUUAUGUCCUCGUGGAUGAUUAUUAUUUCAGUUUCCUCCCUGAAUAUGUAUUGGGAUGGAAUUACUCCCCUGAGUUAUAUCCUUAUUGGGUUGAGUCUUGUUUCAUUGUGUCUCUCUAGUUUGUUCCUAGAUUAACUCCUUUC